CCUACGGGAGGCAGCAGUGGGGAAUCUUGCGCAAUGGGCGGAAGCCUGACGCAGCCAUGCCGCGUGAAUGAUGAAGGUCUUAGGAUUGUAAAAAUUCUUUUCACCGGGGACGAUAAUGACGGUACCCGGAGAAGAAGCCCCGGCUAACUUCGUGCCAGCAGCCGCGGUAAUACGAAGGGGGCUAGCGUUGCUCGGAAUUACUGGGCGUAAAGGGAGCGUAGGCGGAUAGUUUAGUCAGAGGUGAAAGCCCAGGGCUCAACCUUGGAAUUGCCUUUGAUACUGGCUAUCUUGAGUAUGGGAGAGGUUAGCGGAACUCCGAGUGUAGAGGUGAAAUUCGUAGAUAUUCGGAAGAACACCAGUGGCGAAGGCGGCUAACUGGCCCAUUACUGACGCUGAGGCUCGAAAGCGUGGGGAGCAAACAGGAUUAGAUACCCUGGUAGUCCACGCCGUAAACGAUGAGUGCUAGUUGUCGGCAUGCAUGCAUGUCGGUGACGCAGCUACGACAUAAGACACUCCGCCGUGGGAGGUACGGUCGCGAGAAUUAAACUACAAAUAGAAGUUAGUACGGCGUGAGACGUCGCCGACGGACGACGACGAGGGAGGUUAGG
rnacentral:rRNA from 1 species